GAUGAACGCUGACAGAAUGCUUAACACAUGCAAGUCCACUUGAACUUCGGUUUGGGUGGCGGACGGGUGAGUAACGCGUAAAGAACUUGCCUCACAGCUAGGGACAACAUUUGGAAACGAAUGCUAAUACCUGAUAUUAUGAUUUUAGGGCAUCCUAGAAUUAUGAAAGCUAUAUGCGCUGUGAGAGAGCUUUGCGUCCCAUUAGCUAGUUGGAGAGGUAACGGCUCGCCAAGGCGAUGAUGGGUAGCCGGCCUGAGAGGGUGAACGGCCACAAGGGGACUGAGACACGGCCCUUACUCCUACGGGAGGCAGCAGUGGGGAAUAUUGGACAAUGGACCAAGAGUCUGAUCCAGCAAUUCUGUGUGCACGAUGAAGUUUUUCGGAAUGUAAAGUGCUUUCAGUUGGGAAGAAAAAAAUGACGGUACCAACAGAAGAAGUGACGGCUAAAUACGUG
rnacentral:rRNA from 1 species